rnacentral:rRNA from 1 species
UACGGGGGGGGCAAGCGUUGUUCGGAUUCAUUGGGCGUAAAGGGUGCGUAGGCGGCGCGGUAAGUCGGGUGUGAAAUCUCGGGGCUUAACUCCGAAACUGCAUUCGAUACUGCCGUGCUUGAGGACUGGAGAGGAGACUGGAAUUUACGGUGUAGCGGUGAAAUGCGCAGAUAUCGUAAGGAAGACCAGUGGCGAAGGCGGGUCUCUGGACAGUUCCUGACGCUGAGGCACGAAGGCCAGGGGAGCAAACGGG